UAUUCAGGAGGCUGAGGCAGAAGAAUCGCUUGAACUCAGGAGGCGGAGGUUGCAGUGAGCUGAGAUCACACCAUUGCACUCCUCAAAUUAAAAAAAAAAAAAAGGAAAUAGAGAGCAAGGUCAGCCUUGGUCCCCAAUUUCUGCAGAAAGUGCAAAAAGAGAUAAAAGCCAAACCUUAGAGGGGAGAUUAGGGAAUAAGAAUACAGAGGUGCAGCUACUCAGAGAACAGCACUGUGGGGUCUAGAAGAGAUCCAAGAGAGGACAUGGUGUCUUUAAGGAACAAAGAGAAAAUAGUAGCACUAAAGCACGGA
rnacentral:lncRNA from 10 species